AUUGAACGCUGGCGGCAGGCCUAACACAUGCAAGUCGAACGAGUGGCGGACGGGUGCGUAAUGUCUGGGAAACUGCCUGAUGGAGGGGGAUAACUCCUGGAAACGGUAGCUAAUACCGCAUACCAUCGGAUGUGCCCAGAUUGGAUUAGCUAGUAGGUGGGGUAAAGGCUCACCUAGUCGACGAUCCCUAGCUGGUCUGAGCGGAUGACCAGCCACACUGGAACUGAGACACGGUCCAGACUCAUACGGGAGGCAGCAGUGGGGAAUAUGGGACAAUGGGCGAAAGCCUGAUGCAGCCAUGCCGCGUGUAUGAAGAAGGCCUUCGGGUUGUAAAGUACUUUCAGCGGGGAGGCGUUACCCGCAGAAGAAGCAACGGCUAACUCCGUGCCAGCAGCCGCGGUAAUUC
rnacentral:rRNA from 1 species